rnacentral:lncRNA from 1 species
ACCCAAGCAUGAAAUACAUUCACUAAUUUUUGGGUUACUUUUUUAAGGUUGCAGGGAUGCACCAAACACCAUCUCAAAAAUAGAGCUGUAUUUUCUUUGGUGUAUAUCACAACAACAUCGGGUGAACUUCGGGUAUUGGUUCGUAUCCUAGUUCGCCAAUGUUAUCUCCUUUUAGUGGCCAUCAAUCCUUCACUCAAUCAUCAAUAGAAUUGCU